rnacentral:rRNA from 1 species
AGAGCGAACGCUGGCGGCAGGCUUAACACAUGCAAGUCGAGCGGGCGUAGCAAUACGUCAGCGGCAGACGGGUGAGUAACGCGUGGGAACAUACCUUUUGGUUCGGAACAACCCAGGGAAACUUGGGCUAAAUACCGGAUAAGCCCUUACGGGGAAAGAUUUAUCGCCGAAAGAUUGGCCCGCGUCUGAUUAGCUAGUUGGUGAGGUAACGGCUCACCAAGGCGACGAUCAGUAGCUGGUCUGAGAGGAUGAUCAGCCACAUUGGGACUGAGACACGGCCCAAACUCCUACGGGAGGCAGCAGUGGGGAAUAUUGGACAAUGGGCGCAAGCCUGAUCCAGCCAUGCCGCGUGAGUGAUGAAGGCCCUAGGGUUGUAAAGCUCUUUUGUGCGGGAAGAUAAUGACGGUACCGCAAGAAUAAGCCCGGCUAACUUCGUGCCAGCAGCCGC